UACGAAGGGUGCAAGCGUUACUCGGAAUUACUGGGCGUAAAGCGUGCGUAGGCGGUUUGUUAAGUCCGUUGUGAAAGCCCUGGGCUCAACCUGGGAAUUGCAGUGGAUACUGGCGAGCUAGAGUGCGGUAGAGGAUGGUGGAAUUCCCGGUGUAGCGGUGAAAUGCGUAGAGAUCGGGAGGAACACCCGUGGCGAAGGCGGCCAUCUGGACCAGCACUGACGCUGAGGCACGAAAGCGUGGGGAGCAAACAGGAUUAGAUACCCUGGUAGUCCACGCCCUAAACGAUGCGAACUGGACGUUGGGUGGACUUAGCCACUCAGUGUCGAAGCUAACGCGUUAAGUUCGCCGCCUGGGGAGUACGGUCGCAAGACUGAA
rnacentral:rRNA from 1 species